CACGUAGGGCAAGCGUUGUCCGGAUUUAUUGGGCGUAAAGAGCUCGUAGGCUGUUCGAUAAGUCGGGUGUGAAACCUCCAGGCUCAACCGGAGACGCCACCCGAUACUGUCAUGACUAGAGUCCGGUAGGGGAGCGUGGAAUUCCUGGUGUAGCGGUGAAAUGCGCAGAUAUCAGGAGGAACACCAGCGGCGAAGGCGGCGCUCUGGGCCGGUACUGACGCUGAGGAGCGAAAGCGUGGGUAGCAAACAGG
rnacentral:rRNA from 1 species